rnacentral:rRNA from 1 species
GUUGCUAACGCGUGAAGGCGAGCACUCUAGACGAACUGCCGUUGACAAAACGGAGGAAGGUGGGGAUGACGUCAAAUCAUCAUGCCCCUUAUGUUCUGGGCUACACACGUGCUACAAUGGCCGGUACAGACGGACGCAAAGCCGCGAGGUGGAGCAAAUCCUAAAAAGCCGGUCUCAGUUCGGAUUGCAGGCUGCAAUUCGCCUGCAUGAAGUCGGAAUCGCUAGUAAUCGCAGGUCAGCAUACUGCGGUCGAAUACGUUCCCGGGCCUU